GGUUUAUUAACCAGCCCUGUUGUACCCCAGAGAUACGUGGGUCUGUCCUGUGCAAGAAGAGGGCAGGUCUCACUCUGCUGCAGCUUUUCCUUUGCGAUCCUUUUGGGGCUGUGCUAUUCAGGUGGGUACUGCAGCAGCAACACAAGCAGAACUGCUUCCAAGUGGUGGUGGUGGUGGUGGGGCUGUGGCUGAAGUCACACUGGUUGCACCGAGGUCCCUGGGCACACGUUGGUAUGCGAUGGAGGGCUGCCAACCACUUGCAGUGUCUGCUCUCUGUGCUGGUGCACCCAGCACAAGGCGUAGAUGUCUGCCUCAGCACUCCCUGCAGCAGAGCCUUCUUGGGGCCCUGGGGCUCUGAGCACAUCAGCGCUGUCCUUGCAUGGCUGGCCCUGAACUUCCCUAAAGCACACAGCUGAAAAUUCUUGGGGGAGGAGGGGGAAGAUUUUUCUGUUUUAAAUCCGGAGUGCCUGCAGCUAAUCCUUGGGAAACAGGUUCAGCAGCACCAGCAAGGGCAGGAGAGCACUGCCUGGCUGCGAUGAUGAUUGCAUCAGGGCUCUGUGUGUUCCCAUGGACCACUGGUGUAGGACGAGCCAUUGGUUGGAUAAUCCCAAUUUCACCCUUUUUUUCCCUUCCGUCCUUUAAAAAUGGCCUGAUAAGUGUGGCACGGCACAGCCUGCACCUCUGCCAGAGUGCCUUGGGGCUCGUGUUCUGUGCUCCUCCAUUCUGUGCUCCUGACGGCCCUCCUGCUCUCUGCCAGCCUCUGUCCGGGCUGCCUCACUGCUUCAUGAACUCCAGUUUGCCUUUCUUGGCUAGAAAACGGAUUAAGCUAGCAGGACAGGAAAAUUAAUGAGCUGCCAUUUUAAGGAUGUAGCUUUUGUUGUGGUCCGAAGUGUUCUGAAGUGACAUUGCGCCACUGAGACACACGGACUGAUCGGCAGGCCUUUACCUGCUGGAGUGCCCCAUCUAUUCGUGCUGUGGUCCUCCCCCAGGUGAUGAAGGCUCCAAGGUGACCCUCGAGGCCGAGCAGCCAGGAGGAGGUUUUGAGGAGGUUUUGCCUUCUCUGCUGGUUGUGGCCGAGGAAAACCGGCACCGACGUUUUCUGCUUGUUUAACAUUCAGAACAGCUUUUCUGUGCCCUUCCCCUGGGUGCUGGCUGCCUGCCAGGCCUGGGGACAGCGGGAAUUGCAUGGGGAGCUGCAGGAUUCAGUUCCCACCGCGGGGGGGGGGGGGGACCUUUGUGACAGCCAGACCUGGAACCAACGUGUGCCAUUGAAGUCCUUUUCCGAAGAGGUUCUGCAGUUCUGCCCUCACUGAUCCCUCACAGCGCUCCCCACCAGAGAUCCCCCAGCCCAGCCCCUGGCAGGGAACGAUCUGUGACACAAUGAAUGCAGAUUAUCAGCUCUUUUUCUUUUUUCUUCCUUUUUCCCCAGGAUUUAAUGUAGUAGAAACAUGGCAUCCCGCAGCCAAAUCACUUGAAGGCGGUAGGAGAGUGUUGGGUGAGGCUGAAACUUCCUAUUUGGUCUCAUCCAAGGGGCUGUUGGCACAAUUUAGGUUUGCUUUUGAAGAAGGCCGGCUUAUCUGUGAGGAACUGCCAUGCAGGUGCCGGAUGCAGACAGCUGUGGCAGCACAGGAAGCAGAUGAAGGGUGAGUCUGCUGCUUUCUUCACUCUGUAGUUAAGCAAGCUCCUCUAUUUUGAUAUCUUUCCAACCUUCUCCAAAAGAAAAGCAGAACAGGCAGUGCAAAGGGCUCUUGCUCAAGUCUGUGAUUGGAACUACCUCCAGCCUGGAAGCAGUCUGCCUGUUCCCCCAGCAGCUGUUGCAAUAGCAGCCCUUGCUGGAGCCUGUCCUUGCGGGUAGGCUGGGCUAGGAAAGCCUUUGCUAUGGUUAAACGGAAGGCAGACAACAUGUUGGCUAAGGAUUGCCAAGGCAGAAAACCACAGGUCAGUAACAUUUUCAUCCAGAGUGUCUUCUUUAGCUCCUUGCAGCAUGUUAUUUUCAUUCCGUACACUGAUCUUAUCUCCCAGUAAUGAACACCGGGCCAGACACUUUCACACAGAGCAGCCAUAAUUAAGGCAAGAUCACUUACUGUUGAUACAGUCACUUCAAUAUGCUCUCACUGGGGAUUUCCUGCAGCAGUCUCCGGGUGAGAAAUGAAAAGAGCAGUCCCAAACACUUUUAAGAUAUCAGUUUUUAUUGGACGUUGCAAGAUCAAUAAGAAAAAAUAAUUUGUACAGCUUUGUACACCAUUGCUGCUGAAGAGUAAGGCUACCUGUCACACAACAGAGACCUGGUGCAGCCAACAGGGUGCUCCCAGCAUGACUCACAUCUGAUGUUUUUCUCCAAGAAUGACUUACAAUUGUCAGAUGGUAGCACCACCCACCUUGGACAGGCCUGUGUAGCCUUACCAUAGCACAAAUGGGGCUUCCUAGACAUAUAAGGUGAGCAGCCUUGCUCUGAGAUACCCUCUCCCAGCGGCUCACUGCCAACCAGUUGCAGGAUCAGUCUGGUACAAUGCUUACAGACCUUCGGCCUCGCUUUUCCCCUCCCUGACACCAGCUAGGGGGGAACCAGAACACUUAAGGUUUUGAUUGGCAGAGUAACCCUUUCCAACCAAACCCAGAUGUUUAAGAGUGAUUGUAGAGCAGCAGCUACGGGUAUUGCUCUAGCACUGGGGCACCCAAUCCAUAGGAUGGGCAGAGCUAGAAAGAGAGGCUUCAGUUUACACGGUAGUUUUGCUAAGCUUUUUGCCUUUGACAGUUCUUAGCUGUUUAAAAAACAAGUGCUAGGUCAAAAGGCUGAUUUUGCAUGGAGGCAGUGAGACAUUAUCCUCGGACUAUGCAAAAUUCUAGUUGGCCCCAUCAGUAUCUCGCACUGCCCUCUCUUUGCUGUGGCAGGUAGGUGGGAGAAGAGUGUUCCACUGCUGGACUGAAGUGCCAGACCAAGGAAAACAUUAGCAUUGAUUCAGCCCCUAAGAGGAGAUCAUAAUUUAGAAGUCAGUAGUUAAGGACCGUAUCAUCUGUCCUAAUAAACGCAAUCAAGACAGUCAUUUUAAAUCACCAAAGGGCUCAGCUAGAAAAAGAAAUCAAUUUUAAUGGCUCUGUAGACAGAAAAGGGGGGACUGUACUAUAAUUAGAUGAAUACCUGUACUGCAUUAAUGCCAGUAAACAGAUACAGGUGCUGGACCUUACCCCUUGUAACCUUUACAGAAGGGACACUGUUUACUGAUACUUAAAUACCUCUCACAGAAAAUGGGAAGUAGUAUCUGGUGCCAUUCUGAGGUACUAACACACCAUUCAGCCAUCUGUAUGCACAGUCAAAGAACAAAAAUGCAGUGGGUGAACAAAUUGAGCAUAGUAGAUGUGAUCAGCAGUGAGCUGCCUCCCCCACGCAGGCACCAACUGUACAGCCACGUCCCAGGUAAAUGGGGAGGGGGGGCAACACAGGACAGUCUGCUUUUAAAGAAAGGAGGGCAACAAGGAAAUAAUGUGAUAAUGAAGAAUUAAGGAGAAAAGAAAAACAAAACAAAAC